rnacentral:rRNA from 1 species
AGUGAAUAGAUACCCAGGUAGUCCCAGCUGUAAACGAUGCGCGUUAGGUGUAUCGGUGACCACGAGUCAUCGAGGUGCCGAAGGGAAACCGUGAAACGUGCCGCCUGGGAAGUACGGUCGCAAGGCUGAAACUUAAAGGAAUUGGCGGGGGAGGCACCACAACGGUGGUAGCCUGCGGUUUAAGUUUAGGUACGUCAACGCCGGGCGAGCUCACCGGACGUAAGACAGCUGGAUGAUAGCCGGGCGUGAAGACUCUGCUUGACUAGCUGAGAGGAGGUGCAUGGCCGUCGUCAGUUCGUACUGUGAAGCAUCCUGUUAAGUACAGGCAACGAGCGAGACCCACGCCAACAGUUGCCAGCAUGUCCUCCGGGGUAGUGAUGGGGUACGACUGUUGGGUACCGGCCUCUGCUAAACGAGGAGGAAGGAAGUGGCGAACGGUAGGUCAGCAUGCCCGGAACUUUAUCCGGGUCGUACACGCGGGUCUACAAUGGUCAGGACAAUGGGUAUCGACACGACGAGGUGGAGGCAAUCUCUAAA